rnacentral:misc_RNA from 1 species
AAGUCGUAACAAGGUUUCCGUAGGCUGAACCUGCGGAAGGAUCAUUACAAAUAAAGCUGGUAGGGAAGUGGGGUCCUUGUAUCUGUAAGUGGUAGAUCGCGAACAGUCCCGGUCUGGCCUACCCGAAAAUGUCUUUAACCAUGUCCCCCACGCCUGAAGGCCGAAUACAACCCUUGAUUAUCUACACUUGUUGCUUUGGGGUCUCAAGUGCCCCAGAGGACCCAACUCUCUUGCAAUUUAGUGACGUCUGAGUACUAUAUAAUAUUUAAAA